UGUCACUCCAAAGAGAGCUGACUCGACCACUUUGGACUUAUAAAUAAGUUUGUACUGCCAUCGUUGUCGUCAUCGCCGUGGACACCGUUGUCAAGAGAACAACAACCCACCACUACUGAAGAUCAGUGACUGAACUAUGAACCACGCUGGACCCAUGGUGGUGACUAUCUCCCUCUUGCCUCCUAUAGAGACUCCUUGCUUCUAUUUCCUAUCUUCUCUGCUGCCCUUCUCCUCUUCCCCAUCACUCUAAUUUGUACCUAUAAAGACUCCUUGCUUCUAUUUCCUAUCUUUUCUAUCACUCGCUUUCCCUUCCCCAUCACCCCAAUCUGUAAUAGUGUCCGUCCUCCCUUUCCCCAUCUCCCUUAUUAAAAUUUGUAAUAAACUGGUCGGACCAACAUUUGAACCGUUGUUUCUUAAUCUCACGACAGGCAUACAUAUUUCAAAGAACCUCCUCUCCCUCCUAUAAAUUGGAGCGAGACAGUGGGAUAUCCUUAACUUCUCUGGUCAGCCUGUUCCAGUGCCUCACGUCCCUCUGAGAUAAAGAAUUCUUGCUAGCAUGUGACAUAAAUUUCCCCUCUUCUCAUUUAAGGUGAUUCUACCUUGUCCUAUCACUAUCAUUUUGUGUAAAAAGUCAGUGUCUCUCCUGCUUAUAAGUUCCCUUCAAGUACUGGAAGGCCACAGUGAGAUCUCCCUGGAGCCUUCUCUUCUUCAAGCUAAAUAAGUCCAUCUCCC
ensembl:lncRNA